rnacentral:hammerhead_ribozyme from 1 species
AGCAGCUGACGAGUCCCAAAUAGGACGAAAUGCGCAUCCUGGAU